rnacentral:rRNA from 1 species
GCGCCCUACGGGACGCAGCAGUGGGGAAUAUUGCACAAUGGGGGGAACCCUGAUGCAGCGACCCCGCGUGAGUGAAGAAGUAUUUCGGUAUGUAAAGCUCUAUCAGCAGGGAAGAAAAUGACGGUACCUGACUAAGAAGCCCCGGCUAACUACGUGCCAGCAGCCGCGGUAAUACGGAGGAUGCGAGCGUUAUCCGGAUUUAUUGGGUUUAAAGGGUGCGAAGGCGGUCCGUUAAGUCAGCGGUAAAAUUGCGGGGCUCAACCCCG